GUGGAGGUGAUGUUGGAGGUGCUGGAAUAAGUGAUGGUGGAAAUGAUGGUGGAGGUGCUGGAAUAAGUGAUGGUGGAGGUGCUGGAAUAAGUAAUGGUGGAGGUGCUGGAAUAAGUAAUGGUGGAGGUGCUGGAAUAAGUGAUGGUGGAGGUGAUGUUGGAGGUGCUGGAAUAAGUGAUGGUGGAGGUGAUGUUGGAGGUGCUGGAAUAAGUGAUGGUGGAGGUGAUGUUGGAGGUGCCGGAAUAAGUAUUGGUGGAGGUGAUGUAGGAGGUGCUGGAAUAAGUAUUGGUGGAGGUGAUGUUGGAGGUGCUGGAAUAAGU